UAACCUAGUGGCAGACGGGUGAGUAACACGUGGUCAACCUUCCCUUUAUGGGGGAUAACUAGCCGAAAGGUUAGCUAAUACCGCAUACCAUCUAAACCCGGCAUCGGGAGUAGAUGAAAGGAGCAAUCCGCUUAAGGACGGGACCGCGUCCCAUUAGUUAGUUGGUGGGGUAACGGCCUACCAAGACUCCGAUGGGUAGCUGGUUUGAGAGAGCGACCAGCCACACUGGGACUGAGAAACGGCCCAG
rnacentral:rRNA from 1 species